rnacentral:lncRNA from 1 species
CUGGACACCGGACACCUACCCAACCCUGUCCCCUACAGAUCUACCCAACCCUGUCCCCUGGACACCUACCCAACCUAUAAUAAAGGUCUGGGUCAGCCAAUAAAGGUCAGCCAUUAAAGGUCAGCCAAUAAAGGUCAGGGUCAGCCAUUAAAGGUCAGCCAAUAAAGGUCAGCCAAUAAAGGUCAGCCAAUAAAGGUCAGCCAUUAAAGGUCAGCCAAUAAAGGUCAGCCAAUAAAGGUCAGCCAAUAAAGGUCAGCCAAUAAAGGUCAGCCAUUAAAGGUCAGCCAAUAAAGGUCAGCCAAUAAAGGUCAGCCAUUAAAGGUCAGCCAAUAAAGGUCAGCCAUUAAAAGUCAGCCAAUAAAGGUCAGCCAAUAAAGGUCAGGGUCAGCCAUUAAAGGUCAGCCAUUAAAGGUCAGCCAUUAAAGGUCAGCCAUUCAAGGUCAGCCAAUGACUAAAUAGGAAAUAUGGUGGCAUUUGGAACUCAUACCCUAAAGUACAUGAACUAGCCGAUACAGUAUAUAUGAACAUUUAGAGAGAGAGAGAGAGAGACAGAGAGAGAGAGAGACAGAGAGAGCGAGAGAGAGAGACAGAGAGAGAGAGAGAGAGAGAGAGAGACAGAGAGAGAGAGAGAGAGAGACAGAGAGAGAGAGAGAGAGAGAGAGAGACAGAGAGAGA